AGAUUUAGAUAAUAUUGAGGCAUGUAAGCUCACCACAAAAACCAAGAAACUCCCCCCUUUUUCUCCUUCAAAUUUUCGGUCCCUCCCCCAUUUCUCUCCCUCACACUUUCUUCUUUUUCUCCUCUAUUUUAGCUAAGGAAAAUGCUUCCAAGACUUCAUCUUUUCACACCCAAAAGCUAAGAAGUGCCUCAAGCCUUUCCAAGCUUCAAAGUUCAAGCAUCAAGUACGAAAAGCUUCAAGGAAUCCUAAGCAUCAUCAACUCCAUUAUCCAUUGAUUUCUUGGAGUAUGAGUGACAACCGACGUUAGAACGACGCCGAGCUCUACUUCACCGACACCGAAGACAAGUUGAGCAGCUGACGGUGGUGAUGAAGUGAUGAGCGGGAUCUCUUUUGUCUUAGUUUAUGUAUUAAUGAACUCUGAGGAUACAUGUCUUCAUAUAUGUAAUCAGAACCUUUAUUCUGCUACGUACUCAGAAGUCUUAUGAUAUUUUGGGUAAGUCGGAGUUAUCCGAACUUACUAGUUAUUUGGGUCAUGUGACCAAACAUUUGUUAUAUUAAAAGUUUCCCCUUCGUUAACUGUA